rnacentral:rRNA from 1 species
UACGGGGGGGGCAAGCGUUGUUCGGAAUUACUGGGCGUAAAGGGCUCGUAGGUGGCCAACUAAGUCAGCCGUGAAAUCCCCAGGCUUAACCUGGGAACUGCGUCUGAUACUGGAUGGCUUGAAUUCGGGAGAGGGCUGCAGAAUUCCAGGUGUAGCGGUGAAAUGCGUAGAUAUCGAGAGGAACACCUGCGGCGAAGGCGGGUUGCUGGGCUGACACUGACGCUGAUGCGCGAAAGCCAGGGGAGCGAACGGG